rnacentral:misc_RNA from 1 species
CAGAGUUCAUGCCCUAACGGGUAGAUCUCCCACCCUUGAUAUUUAUACCUUUUGUUGCUUUGGCAGGCCGCCUUGGCCACCGGCUUCGGCUGGUGAGUGCCUGCCAGAGGACCCCAACUCUUGUUAUUUUAGUGUCGUCUGAGUACUAUAUAAUAGUUA